CGAACGACUCCCGGCAACGGAUAUCUCGGCUCUUGCAUCGAUGAAGAACGUAGCGAAAUGCGAUACUUGGUGUGAAUUGCAGAAUCCCGUGAACCAUCGAGUUUUUGAACGCAAGUUGCGCCCGAGGCCACUAGGCUGAGGGCACGCCUGCCUGGGCGUCACAC
rnacentral:rRNA from 1 species